rnacentral:rRNA from 1 species
UACAGAGGCCUCAAGCGUUAGGCGGAAUCACUGGGCUUAAAGCGUGUGUAGGCGGGUCGUUAAGUACCUUGUGAAAUCCCACGGCUUAACUGUGGAACGGCUUGGUAUACUGGCGAUCUUGAGCCACUUAGGGGCUACCGGAACAGAUGGUGGAGCGGUGAAAUGCGCAGAUAUCAGGAGGAACACCGAUGGCGAAGGCAGGUCUCUGGGCAUUAACUGACGCUGAGGAGCGAAAAGCAUGGGGAGCGAACAGG